rnacentral:rRNA from 1 species
UGGGUACGGGGAGGCAGCAGGUGGGGAAUAUUGACAAUGGACCAAAAGUCUGAUCCAGCAAUUCUGUGUGCACGAUGUACGUUUUUCGGAAUGUAAAGUGCUUUCAGUUGGGAAGAAAAAAAUGACGGUACCAACAGAAGAAGUGACGGCUAAAUACGUGCCAGCAGCCGCGGUAAUCCAA